CGGUACGUACUGGCAUUGUUGGUUUCUCCCUUCUGACGAACCAUGAUGUCAUUUAUUUGGUGUUGUGGGGAAUCAGGACUGUUACUUUGAAAAAAUUAGAGUGUUUAAAGCAGGCUCACGCUUGAAUACAUUAGCAUGGAAUAAUGAAAUAGGACGUUUGAUUCUAUUUUGUCGGUUUCUAGGAUCGACGUAAUGAUUAAUAGGGAUAGUUGGGGGCAUUAGUAUUCAAUUGUCAGAGGUGAAAUUCUUGGAUUUAUUGAAGACUAACUACUGCGAAAGCAUUUGCCAAGGAUGUUUUCAUUAAUCAAGAACGAAAGUUAGGGGAUCGAAGACGAUCAGAUACCGUCGUAGUCUUAACCAUAAACUAUGCCGACUAGGGAUCGGAUGAUGUUAAUUUUUUAAUGACUCAUUCGGCGCCUUACG
rnacentral:rRNA from 1 species